AGACCCGAAACCCGGUGAUCUAGCCAUGGGCAGGUUGAAGGUUGGGUAACACUAACUGGAGGACCGAACCGACUAAUGUUGAAAAAUUAGCGGAUGACUUGUGGCUGGGGGUGAAAGGCCAAUCAAACCGGGAGAUAGCUGGUUCUCCCCGAAAGCUAUUUAGGUAGCGCCUCGUGAAUUCAUCUCCGGGGGUAGAGCACUGUUUCGGCAAGGGGGUCAUCCCGACUUACCAACCCGAUGCAAACUGCGAAUACCGGAGAAUGUUAUCACGGGAGACACACGGCGGGUGCUAACGUCCGUCGUGAAGAGGGAAACAACCCAGACCGCCAGCUAAGGUCCCAAAGUCAUGGUUAAGUGGGAAACGAUGUGGGAAGGCCCAGACAGCCAGGAUGUUGGCUUAGAAGCAGCCAUCAUUUAAAGAAAGCGUAAUAGCUCACUGGUCGAGUCGGCCUGCGCGGAAGAUGUAACGGGGCUAAACCAUGCACCGAAGCUGCGG
rnacentral:rRNA from 1 species